rnacentral:rRNA from 1 species
CAAUAAGCGGAGGAAAAGAAWCCAACAGGGAUUGCCUUAGUAACUGCGAGUGAAGCGGCAAAAGCUCAAAUUUGAAAUCUGGCGUCUUUGGCGUCCGAAUUGUAAUUUGGAGAGGCAACUUCGGAGAUGGUGCUGUCCUAAGUUCCUUGGAACAGGAUGACAUAGAGGGUGAGAUCCCCGUGCCUGGAUGGCUGUCCAUCUUCAUGUGAAUUGCCUUCGAAGAGUCGAGUUGUUUGGGAAUGCAGCUCAAAAUGGGUGGUAAAUUUCAUCUAAAGCUAAAUAUUGGCGAGAGACCGAUAGCGCACAAGUAGAGUGAUCGAAAGAUGAAAAGCACUUUGAAAAGAGAGUUAAAAAGUACGUGAAAUUGUUGAAAGGGAAGCGCUUGAGACCAGACUCGAUUCGUGGUGAUCAGCUGUGCUUCUGUACGGUGCACUCGCCAUGGAUUGGGCCAGCAUCGGUUCUGACGGUGGGAUAAAAGGUUGAGGAAUGUGUCUUCCUUCGGGGAGUGUUAUAGCCUCACUCACAAUGCCACCAGCUGGGACCGAKGACCGCGCUUCGGCUAGGAUGCUGGCGUAAUGGUCUUAAGCGACCCGUCUUGAAACACGGACCAAGGAGUCUAACAUCUAUGCGAGUGUUCGGGUGGAAAACCCUUGCGCGUAAUGAAAGUGAACGGAGGUGGGAACCCGCAAGGGUGCACCAUCGACCGAUCCCGAUGUCUUCSGAAGGAUUUGAGUAAGAGCAUAGCUGUUGGGACCCGAAAGAUGGUGAACUAUGCCUGAAUAGGGUGAAGCCAGAGGAAACUCUGGUGGAGGCUCGCAGCGGUUCUGACGUGCAAAUCGAUCGUCAAAUUUGGGUAUAGGGGCGAAAGACUAAUCGAACCAUCUAGUAGCUGGUUCCUGCCGAAG